ensembl:misc_RNA 7SK 7SK RNA
UGAUGUGAGGGCGAUCUGGUUGCGACAUCUGUCACCCCAUUGAUCGCCAGGGUUGAUUCGGCUGAUCUGGCUGGCUAGGCGGGUGUCCCCUUCCUCCCUCACCGCUCCAUGUGCGUCCCUCCCGAAGCUGCGCGCUCGGUCGAAGAGGACGACCAUCCCUGCUAGAGGAGGACCGGUCUUCGGUCAAGGGUAUACGAGUAGCUGCGCUCCCCUGCUAGAACCUCCAAACAAACUUCUUUCUAAAGUAGUUUUAUCAAUUUAUUCUUCAGUUGGUACCAACUAUUUAUUAAAAGGAAAUAUCUUU